rnacentral:rRNA from 1 species
AUGGGUGCCGUCAUUGCUAAACGGCUAAGCCUGAAUCGUACACAAGGCCCCAUAUUUGGAGGUAUCUAUGCUUCACGUCUUGCUAGACAUUUUGAGAUACCUAUUAGGCACCAUGAGAAAGAGGAGACAAAAUUGCCUCCUUACAUUUUAUAUUACAAGAGCAUGGUAGCACAUGCGUUUAUUGUUGACAACAAAGAGAAGAUGCUCUUGUAUAACCUUAGAUUUAAUAAGAAACACAAUGAGACUAUUGUUUUGCCUGCACCUCUAUUGUUUGAUUUGAUUGCAGAUAAUUUUCUUGUUACACCAGAAGCGGUGUACUCUCAUCGAGACCAAGCAUCCACUCCAGAACCUGAACCUGAGCCGAAACCUGAACUGGACCCUUAUCGUGCAUCAUCCUACCAGUGGGACCCGGAGAUGGCCAGCCAGUGGUAUCCUGAUUACACCUCCCAGUACACCGGGGAGAGUAGCAGUGGUCCUUGGCAAUAA